rnacentral:lncRNA from 1 species
GUUUGAAAGCAAGCGCCCAGGAAAAGGUUUCCCCAGAGCUCAGAACUUAUUUCUGCUAAGCUGGAGAUUUCAGGUGGUGGCUUAGGACAGUAUCGAGGCUGCAACCAAUUAAAAUCACCAGCGUAGCCGGUCUUGAAGAAGCAUCCUGAUUGUCUUGAUUGGAUGUGGAGAGACCCACCUAGACUGUGGGUGGUACCUUCUGAGAGUCCCGGUGAAAAGGGUGUGGAAGAAAGACGUCAUCACUCCUUUGGCUUCUCAGCCUUCCCUCUUGCCACCAAGCCAGUCUGCCCCUUUGCUGCUGCGGACUGAACAAUCCCAACCCCCACCACAGUUGUCAGCCAGCCUCCCUCUACUCAGAAGCAGCCAUGGUGGGACUACUCGGCUGCUGAGGAACCCAGCCUCCAGGAUUGACUAUCUUACCAGGUUCUUGGCUCUCAGGUCUGACUCUGCU